rnacentral:rRNA from 1 species
AGCAGCCGCGGUAAUUCCAGCUCCAAUAGCGUAUAUUAAAGUUGUUGCAGUUAAAAAGCUCGUAGUUGAAUUUCGGGGUCAGUAGGCUGGUCGUGCCACAGGUACGCACUGGUCUCACUGAUUCCUCCUUCCUGAUGAACCGUAAUGCCAUUAAUUUGGUGUUGCGGGGAGACUGGACUGUUACUUUGAAAAAAUUAGAGUGUUUAAAGCAGGCUAACGCUUGAAUACAUUAGCAUGGAAUAAUGAAAUAGGACGUUCGGUCUUAUUUUGUUGGUUUCUAAGAUUGACGUAAUGAUUAAUAGGGAUAGUUGGGGGCAUUAGUAUUCAAUUGUCAGAGGUGAAAUUCUUGGAUUUAUUGAAGACUAACUACUGCGAAAGCAUUUGCCAAGGAUGUUUUCAUUAAUCAAGAACGAAAGUUAGGGGAUCGAAGACGAUCAGAUACCGUCGUAGUCUUAACCAUAAACUAUGCCGACUAGGGAUCGGAUGAUGUUAAUUUUAUAAUGA